CCUACGGGUGGCAGCAGUGGGGGAUAUUGCACAAUGGGGGAAACCCUGAUGCAGCGACGCCGCGUGAGUGAAGAAGUAUUUCGGUAUGGAAAGCUCUAUCAGCAGGGAAGAAAAUGACAGUACCUGACCAAGAAGCCCCGGCUAACUACGUGCCAGCAGCCGCGGUAAAACGUAGGGGGCAAGCGUUAUCCGGAUUUACUGGGUGUAAAGGGGGCGUAGACGGUUAUGUAAGUCUGGAGUGAAAGCCCGGGGCCCAACCCCGGGACUGCUGUGGAAACUGUGUAACUGGAGUACAGGAGGGGCAGGCGGAAUUCCUGGUGUAGCGGUGAAAUGCGUAGAUAUCAGGAGGAACACCGGCGGCGAAGGCAGCCUGCUGGACUGAAACUGACGUUGAGGCUCGAAAGCGUGGGGAGCGAACAGGAUUAGAUACCCUAGUAGUC
rnacentral:rRNA from 1 species